AAAUUUCCAAAUUACAACUCUAUAUCAAUAUCAUUGGUAAAUUGUCUUAUCUCCUUGAUUGUUGUGAGCUUUGAAUUUGAUGGCAAAGCAUUAGGUUUUUUAAAUUUAGACUGUGAACAAUUCCAGCUAUCUGUACUACGAGUCGUAUCACCUCAUCAAUGAUUUUCAAGACUCAUCCCCGAAAAACCUAGAUAGACGGAAACAAUGACAUGAAUCUUGAUAAUGGAUGCUAUCUAGAAGUGACAAUCAGAUCAAAUCAGAUCAUAAAUAGGUCGAAUCAAUGCAGAUCGAGUCAGAAAAUUAUUAAUCUAAAUCUGAUCUAUCUAUUAAAUUAAUCAAAAAUUUAAAUCGAAUCUGAUCUGUUUAUUAAACAGAUAAUCGGACCUGAUCAAUUUAAUCCAUUUAUUAAAUAGAUCAAAUUAUGUUAAAUAGAUUAAACAAGUUAAACGGAUUAAAUAAGUUAAACAGAUCAGGUUAAAUGAGUCAGAAACAAGUUAAACAGGAUUUAAAUAGGUUAAACAGAUCUUAAAUGGGUUAAGUUAAACAGAUCGAGUUAAAUAGGUCAGAAAUAGGUUAAAUAAGUUAAAUAGGUUAUCUGACUCAAUCCGACCUGAAUAUUAAACGGGUUAAAUGGGUUAGGUAUCUAAAAUCCAAAUUCGAUCCAAUUAUUAAACGAGUUAAAUAAACCAAUCCGUUUAUGACUCAAAUCUGUUUAGCCUAAAUCCAAACCUAUUUAUGGCAAAUCGAACAUGGAUCGGGUUGGUGGAUCGGGUCAUAUUUUGCUAGCCCUAGUGCCAUCAAGUCCGUCACGAGAAGCCGAAGCAAAAUGAUCACAUUGGCUUGAGUUCCCGCCGUCCUCUGGGUCAAUAUAUCAUCAGUAACAGAAAUGAAGUCUUGCAACCAACACCGAUGCAGACUCUCCCCAACCUCCAAGUCAGAAUCUCACCGAUCACUAAGGACAAGGUCUCAUAAUCUGUGCUGAUAUGGAUCUAGUGGGGAUAGCACCUCGAUCGCGAGCCGACCUUAGUCUACUAGCUCAUCCUGCCUAAUGGGCAAUCUAUUAGAAUUUUCUAACAAAUUUUUGAAAUAUGGCCAUAUGGGCGUAAUAAACAUCCAUGUCUAACAACCUACAUGUUUAAGCCUAACAAUCGACUGGUCUAGGCAUAACAAACUCUGACACCUUCUUAUGUGAGAGGGCAAUAAAAGGACCCUCGGGGGCAAACUCUGAUAAGCCAAUCUAAGCUAUCCUAUAUGCUUUCUUUGUACUCAAGCUCCGACUGACUUAAACAUCCGAUAGUCCUUCGUCGAAGACUUCCAUCUUCGAUAUGAGCAUUUUUUUUAUAGGUUCGUCCUGAUGUCCUAGCAUCCGGAUUUUUCUCUGUCCUCGGCCACAUCAGCACUCCCAUAGCCUUGAUGCAAGAAUCUCUAUAUCCAUUCCAAGGAUUUAACCGUGUUGCAUUCUAACAAUGCUUUAUCGAGUGAUAAAUAAACCAAUUAUUAGAGAAUAUCAAGAAAUAUCUUGAAAGAUUUUCAGCAAAUAUUAGAGAAUAUUAUGAAAUAUCAAAAAAUAUCAAAAAAAUUUCCAGCCGAUAUACCAUAUUAGAGAAUGGUAGAAAAUAUCAUAGAAUAUUAAUAAAAAUUUUUAGCUAAUGUACUAUAUCAGAGAGUAUCAGAGAGAUUCUGUAAUAUGUACUAAAAUCAUGGGAUACUGAUUCUAUUUAUUUCUUGCACUGAAAUCAUGGAAUUCUGAUUUUUUAGAUCUUUGUACGCUUGUACAUAUAUACUAUUCUGAUCAAUGAAAUGAAAUAACAAAAUUUUUUUGCUCAAUUCUAAUACCAACAUGAUGACCUAGAGUACUAUUAUACUAGCAAAAUGAUGUUAUUAAGACUCCAGGGCG
rnacentral:lncRNA from 1 species